GGUAGGGUCUGCAGCUCGGUGGUAGAACAUCUGCUUAGCAUGUAGAAGGUCCCAGGUUCAAUUUCUGGCACCUCCA
rnacentral:tRNA from 1 species